AUCCGCAAACGUCAAAACAAAGCCUUCCAAUUGAACCGCCCGUGGUGUCACACCGCGACUCUCUUAGGGCUUCUUACCGCGGUUGCGACCGCACCAAGAAUGCUCACAACCCAACGGUUUAUUGGAAACUAGUUUUCGGUAUAUCAAUGUAUACUACAUACCCUCUUUCCACCCCGGUUCGUAAAAGAAACUCGCGUGAGUGUGGUCGUGGGGGGGAGUACUUUCUCUCCUCUACGACUCACGAAUGCGUGAUCUGACCGUUACUAUAUUGGGACUAAAAUAUUUGGGUAAUAUUC
rnacentral:snoRNA from 1 species